UUUCCUCAAGAAGGGAAAGCUUGCCUAAACAAAUGUAAUUUUCUCGUUUCCUUUCAUCUCAAAACUAACCCUUUUAGCUUCUUCCACCAUGAAACCCAAUCUAAUAACCGCCAAUUCUUUUCGAGUUUCCAAUUCCUUAACUCCUAGGAUUUCAAUUCCAUUUCCCAGACCUUCAAAUCCACUCUCCAAUCAUUUCCUUUCAACAACGUUUCACUCUUCCAAACCUUGUCGUUUCUUUCCUAUUUGAUUUUCAAAUCCCAAACAAUCCACUUUCAUUAAUGAAGCAUCGCCAGGUUCUACCGCCGAAUUGGGUGCCAUUUCAAAUGAAAGUCUAGGAGAAGAGGAAUUGGGGAGGAAUUUGAAUGUGCAAGUUGGAAAUUCAAUUGUUCCCUCGUAUUUUCAGUCGUCGACUAAGCUUAGUUUGAGUGACCAAGCUUUCUUUCUCCUGUCGUUUAUUGCUUGCACGGUAUAAAACUUCUUUCUUCUGGGUUUCAAUGGAACUUGUAGCUUAUACUUUUAGCUUGUGUUCUGGAUUUUAUAUGAUAAGAGGCAUUAGCUCAAAAUGCCGAACUCUAGAUGUAAUCAAUCUUUUUCUUUUUUCUCAAGUUAAAUCUUCAACUGAGCAAUGAACUUUGAAUUGCCUAAAUGCUAGCCUUUUGUUUUUGAAUUUUUGAUUAAUAGCAUGGAAACCUUUUUGUUUGGUAUGCAAAUUUGCAAUCUAUCUGAAUUGGAAGGAUUUGAAUUUUUUUUUUUUAUGCAUAUCAGUUAUUUAGUAGUGUGUUUAUAAGAAAACUAGCUGCUUCUGAUGUUCUAAUUUGGGUCACAGGUGAACUUACAGUUCAUACUAUGGUCAUGAAUUGGUGAGAAGAGAAAGUAAAUAACUUUUGGCCAUUCUGAGCAGUUGUUUAUCUUGGCAUUUACCACUUGCAUAUUAUGGUUUUAUUUAGCUAAAGUGUGACUAAGAGCUUAGAAACUGUGAUUACUUGAUGGGACAAUUGUCUUCAUUGAAAAUUUUCCUAUCAAAAUCUUCUUGUAUACCAUACAGAAACUCGUCUUUGUUCUAUUUCCAUGAAUUUGUUGACAUCAAGCUUUAUUAGUUUAACUGCCUGCAGACUUCUAUAGCAUUUACAAGCCUUGUCGUUGCCGCCAUCCCAACAGUCUACGUAAGUCAUAUGACACAUCAAACUAUAUUCAAGAUAUCUGAAAUUUCACACAAGAUGAAAUUGAUCUCAUUAUCAAGCUUCAUAGGCUCUUGGGCAACAGGUAAAUUGAUUAAAUAAAUAAUUUUUGCUCGUAACUAUUUAAAUUGACGCGUCAAUAUAGUUCUUAUUAACGGAUCAUGUUGUUAUUUUAAAAAGUUCUUUUAUUUGUAACUUCAAAUGGAAAUCGAGAAUUUUGCAGAUUUACAGAUAUAAUAAGUUAAAAUACAAAUUGGUAUUUGAAUUCUUUUUUUAUUUUGUGAAUAUUUUGCCUGCAAUAUAAGUUCCAAUUAUUUGAAUUUCUGGAUUUGUUUUAGAAAUUUUUUCAAUUUGUUGAAUUGAAUCUGGCUUUAAAUUGAUUUAUUUAAGGCAAUUUUAAUUUAAGUUUCAAUUUUCAAUUGGGCACAAUUUUUGUUUUAUUAAAUAGAGUUAAAUUGAGAGAUUAACAGAUGUUAAUGGAUGCUUAAUUAGGUGGUCAUUGAUUGCCAGCAGACUUCCAGGAAGAACAGCAAAUGAUGUAAAGAAUUACUGGAAUUGCCACAUAAGCAAAAGACUAAAUGCUAAAGAAACCAAACAGAAGCAAAUUGCAAGAAACCCACCUCAGCCUGAAAAUCCUGCAACAAGCCCAAGAAGCCCAGAAGGCCCAAGUUACUUGCAACCACAACAUGUAGAACCCAGUAGAUGUAGCCCAUUAGCAGCAAUCCAUGUGACUGAAGACGGACAGGGCCCACGUGUGAUUCAAGAGAAGGAGAAUUGCUAUUCUGGAUUUGAAGAUCGUGGGUUUUUUGCUGACUUGGAGUUGGAGUUUGGGAAUUUUUUUGAAGAUAAUAAGGUGGCAUUUGGUAAUGAUCAUUUCAGCAGCAAAAAUGAGUGGGAUGACUUGAUCUCCGACCUUGAUUUUUGAAUUGAAAAAAUUUGUAAUUUGAUUAGUUGUUUGGUAAAAUUUUAGUAGCAUUGCUAAGAAAAAAAAAUUCUCAAACUUAGUUAAUGGAUUCAGCAAUUGAUGAUAAUUUCUAUCUACUUCUAAUAGUUGAUUAAUACCCUUACUGAAUGUUUAUAAUGUAUUUGUUUGGUGCAAAAUCAGUUAUAAUUUAUAUGAAUGAAAUGAGUCAAACGCUCCCUCAGUCUUUGUUAUGGAACUUAUCUUACAUGUAGUAGCUAGCAUUUUUUUAAAGUAUAUACUUUCUUUCCGCAAAUAUAUAUUUAUACAAAUGAAAGGAGACAAAAAAGUUCAAAACUUAAAAGCAGAAUUCACUGUUCGAUGCUCUUUUGACGCCUUCCUCGCGAAGUCGUCGAAACCCCUUCCAAGCGAAGUAGCUUCUUAAUUGGGUUUUGCGCGAUAUUCUUAAAUGUGUAUAUAUAUAUGUUGCCAUUUGGGUCUCUUUCUAUAUGUGCGGAGAAAAAAAGCCUACUGUAGUCAACAUAGAGUUUCAACUCUCAGGUAAUAAAAUUGUGUUCAUCUGAAGGUUUGAGCUUUAUGAUUUCUGGGUUUGAGUUCUAAUUAUGAACUGAAAACAAAAUUUUGUAUAACAAUCUGUAUUGAUUAGUUUAUUUGGAAUUCGAGUGUUUAGACACAGCUUAUAAGAGUUCUUUUUUUCCUUGGAUUGUUGAAAUCGUAGGAUAAUUCUUAUAUUUGUUAUUCUCUUUGGCUGAGUUCCAUUUUGCAAUAAUUCUUCUUCUUAGGCAUUCAGGUCAGAUACAGGUAGUAUUAAUUCAAUGGCUUACGUUCCUCCACAUAAGCGGCAUUCACUCGGCAAUGAGAGGCAGUCACCAAUUCCAGAGACAUUUGUUCCUCUCUUCAAGAGAAAUCUUAGUUUGAAAUUACCAGACUCUACAAUAAAUAGGAGCGGAAAGAUCGUAUAUGCAGAUCAUGCCAUAUCUAGAUGGUUUGCCAUUGGUUUGGAUGAUGAUAACCAAUUUCCUCCUUACAUUUGUCUUAAGCCAGCUUCCGUGGAAUCUGUUGAGCGCAGAUCAGGAGAAAAACCUCUAGUGUUGGUCAACAGUAUUGUACCUGAUGGUUCGUAUGCCCUUUUUGGGAUUAUUCUCAUUUAUUUUCUAGAUAACGCAAUGAGAUUAACCUUUAUUUUUUUGUUACAAUUGUGUCUGUUGUAGAGUAUUAUGAAGUGAGAGAGAAUUAUUUGACAAGUCCCUGGGUAACUAUAGCAGAAAAUGUACAGCAAGAUCUACUCACUUCUUUUGAAAUGCUGAAGAAUGAAAUGGACUAUCCAGGGUUGGAAAUAGUUAAGCCAACAUUGGUUGCUAGAUUCUGUAAAAUUCUUUUUCAUGGGUAAGCAAUCCAAUUCCCUUGAUUGUUAGUUUCUUUUAUUUCAUCUACUAGCCUGAAAUAUUACAUUUUACUUGGCCUUUUUUUUAAAACAUAAAGUGAAUCGCUACAGCAAAGAGACAGCCCGUUUUUUUUCGUUUUCGAUAUAUUAUUUUGUACUUCUUGGUUAUGCAUGUUACAGAAACUGUCCAUAGUGAAACCUGCAAAAUUAGCGUGACCUUAACUUGUAGCCUUAAAAUCCUAGAGACUGAUCAAAUUAAAUUGUCUUGACUUAAUAAUGAGUUUUUAAUAGUUCUCAAAAACCCACAUCAUCGAUUAUGUUGUACUUGUGUUUUGAAGCCCUAAUAGUUAAGUGUAUAAACUAUAAAGUAUGACUUCUCUUUCUCAAGAACAAGCUUCAAUUUUUUGUUGUCAAAAAAUUACAGAACUUCUUAGAUCACUUUGGUUUCUAACAGAAACUCCUGUAGAAUUUUUGACCUUUCGGUUUUUGAAACUGGAGUCAACUUCCUGGAUCUUAGUGUUAAGGUCGACAACAAACAUGUUCUAUUUCUCCACCUCGUGGUGUUUUAUGAAUGGGUUGAACAUACGAAUCUCUCCUGGUGUUCAAAGCCUGGCUUAUGUUGUGGAGGAGUUGCCUGAAUAAUCUAAAGUGUGUGAUUUUGGUGUUUGUGCCUUACUUGCUGUUGCCUUGCAGUAGGAAGUUUCUGGGAGGGGCUUGAGAUGUGGAAAAAUCCUAUUAUUCUCCUUAUUAACCUUCUAGUACAUGUUGCAAAUUUCUCUUCCAUCAGUAUACUAACAGACGAGCGAGCAAAAACUCAUCACAUUUGCUUUUUUUGGUGCAGGAGCCCUCAGUUACGCUUAGGAAACGUUGAGAAAAAUCAGGUUGAUGAAACCAUUUUGAAACGAUUGAAAAGAUCAAUUUACACAAAUCUUCCUCCUUCAUAUAUGGAACUAAUUAUAGAUGAAGUUGUUCCAAAGAUUGGGGUUGAUUUUGAAGAGGAAAAGGAAGUCUAUCAUGUGAAGGUAUUCCUUUUGCUGCAUUAUUCUUCUUCUUUCUACCACUCGUAGUAUCUGUUUCAGCUUGUUAAUGGUAUUUUGUUGUCUUGUAUAGUUGUCUGAUAACACGCGGCCUGAUUCAACUAUUUCAUGCAAAUGUAGUGUAAAGACAGAUAAAAAGCUACUGCUCUACAAGGUAGUUUUUCCAUUUGAUUAGCAAGAGCACUGUCCCUAAAUGGUGCUAUAUGUGAAUUAUGAUAUGUGCGGCCUUUAUUGACACUGGUAUAACUCGUGGGUGCGUUCUGAUUUAAUUGAUCAUUUUCACUUUCACAUUGCAUUUGUUAUUUUUAAAAUGUACUUCUGCUUGUUUAUGGAGGGUGCCUGAAAAAAUAGGCAUUUUCCCUGUAGGUUGAACUAAACCAAGUGCGCCAGAUGGUCACGGAUAUAUUGUGCCUUGAUAGGAAUCUAGACCUCAGGCUAAUGCUAUGCACCAAGAGGAUCCUAACUGCUCUUACAGUAAGUAAAUCUGCCAUCACUAAUCAAGAAAGCAUUUGCCAUUGCCAACCAGAGAAGUGCCUGGGGCCAAUACUGUGGAGACCUUUAUCUUAUUAUUUUAUGACCAUUUUAGUUAUCCUACAUUGAGUGCCUUCACUGUUUCAAGGAAUGAUGGAAACUAUUUCAAUUAAAUGGAAGGGAGGGCAAAAAUCUUUGCCCUACAUAUUCUGUUUUAUGCAACAACAUGGGAAAGAAAUCAUGGAAGGCAAAACUCUUUUACGGGCUUGCAACCUAGAUUGGCUCUAAAAUUGGCGAAUUAAAUUGAAAGAAUUAAAACUAUAUCUGUAAACCUGCUUCUCUUGCAGAAUAAGAUUGAAUGGAAUGUCAUCACCUAUUUUUUUGAGAGAGAUUUUUUCAUUGGACAUUGUAAAAUUUCUGAUACAUGAAAUAGUGUUUCAUAUGAAGAGCUUUAGUAAAUGCAAAAGAACUAUGAUGAUAUAUUUGAUGCCAUGAUAUGCCUGAAAUUGAAUCAACUAAACCAGAGCAUUUGUUUAACCUGCAUUUGCCAUGUUACGGACUUUAGGUCAAAUUUUUACACCAAAGAGUGCCUUUUUAUAGUUAGACUAAUUGUAUGUACUAUUGCAUUUGCAGGUUGAUGAGAUGAAUAAAAUAAGAGAUCUGAUUGAUUCUGCAGUUUUGGAUUCAGACGUGAAGGGUGGGUUGAGAUGGCCCCUGGGGAAGACAACUUCUGGAAAUAGAUACACUGUAGUGGGGGUUUGGCAUACUAUAGCUAAAGCCUACAAAAAUCCAUCAGUUAGGCUCAAAGUAAGACAUGCUGAUCGAUUUGAUUUUAGGACUGGAACUGGAGAAUCUACAAGGGAAAUUUAUCUGAAGUUGAAAGGAGUAGUGUCACAAUUGCAGGUGAGUUAUUUUUGUUCAGUUUGAAACUCCACUAUGCUUAGCUAACAUGAUGUGCUUAUAUUUACAGCCUGAAAUCUUAGGACUUUUCCCAAGUACUAUUAGUUUUAGCUUUUCCCAACUGAGAAUUUAUUGGUAUGGUCAUGCUUCAGUUAGUUGCAGAAUUCUAUAUAUAUAGCUUUCUUGUUGCCUAUUUUGAUUUUACUAUUUUCUUGGUAAGUUUUAUUGACUGUUUAACAGUAAUUUAUAUAUUUUUCCCCCUUCAGAAAACAAGUCUUCUUAGUUAGUCUCUGUCUCUUCAUUUGGCAGAUCUUUCUUUGUUUACAGCUUCAGUUCUUUCAAUUUUCAGGAACAGGGAGCAGAAAGUGAUGCAGUCUCUAAUAUGCUUAAAGACAACUUAAGGCUGAUAUGGGAGCACUUCUUAAACUGCAAACGGUUUUUAUCAUGAAAAACAUGUUAUCAGUUCACCUCCUCUCUGUAAAUAGUGUUCGUUUUUGAAUGACAGUUGAAGAAUGUAAUGUUGUUUUUUUAAAAUGGGGAGGGAUUUUUGAAGAAGACAAUGUUUUAAGUGUUUGAAGGAUCUGCUUCUCUUUAAAUGCAAUAAUGCCCUGUAAUUUUGUUCAUCUCUCUCUGUGGUAUUGCUCUUCUGGAUAAGCUUUCUUUGAUUUAUAUUUGUGGCUAGAAAUAGUAUUAUUUACAUUAAAUUUUAGGCCAAGGUUCAGAGUAAUUUAAACCAAAUGAAUUAAUUUUUUUCCAAAAUUGAUUUUUGAAAAAGCUCAUAUUUGUACAUAUAGUUUGGAGGUGAAGAUUUUGAUGAGCCAUGUGGUGGUCUAAAAAGUGGGAAAGAUCAAUUAAACUUCAUUAAUGAAUAAAAUGAUUCUAAACCAGUAUUUUCUUCAUCUAUUUUUAUCUUUUAUUUUUUUUAAAAUGUAUUUAAAAUUAUUUAUCAUUUUGAAAAAAAUUGAAUAUUAAUUAUUUUUUAGAAAUAUAAUUAUUGAGAUUAUAAUAAUUUAAUGAGAUAAAAAGUUUCAUAUAAAAAAAAUGAGAUAAAUGGGUAAUUUAAUUAAAUUAAUGAUUAUUUUGUUAAAUUUAGACAUUUUAAACAGCAUAAGGAGGGAGAGUUUAUUUCUAAAACUUCAUUAUUAAUUUGAGAUGAUCUAUCCAGAAAUACUGAUUUCAACCGUUUUAGAAAAAAUAAAAAGGGCAGAAAGGGAAGAGAAUGGGCACAGAGAAAUAGUUUCCUCAAGAAGAGAAAGCCUGCCUGAACAAAUGCAAUUUUCUCGUUUCCUUUCAGCUCAAAACUAACCCUUUUAGCUUCUUCCACCAUGAAACCCAAUCUAAUAACCGCCAAUUCUUUUCGAGUUUCCAAUUCCUUAACUCCUAGGAUUUCAAUUCCAUUUCCCAGACCUUCAAAUCCACUCUCCAAUCAUUUCCUUUCCACAACCUUUCACUCUUCCAAACCUUGUCGUUUCUUUCCUAUUUGCUUUUCAAAUCCCAAACAAUCCAGUUUCAUUAAUGAAGCAUCGCCAGAUUCUACCGCCGAAUUGGGUGCCAUUUCAAAUGAAAGUCUAGGAGAAGAGGAAUUGGGGAGGAAUUUGAAUGUGCAAGUUGGAAAUUCAAUUGUUC
rnacentral:lncRNA from 1 species